ACAUGUCCUGAGCCCCAGCGGAGUGGUU
rnacentral:sRNA from 1 species